CCAUGGGACCUUAGGUUUCACCACCUCAGGACUUUAAAAGUGGGGUCCGAGGGCCACCCAGGGGUCCUUUAAGGAUGUGGGACUCCACUGUAUAUCCAGAAAGAUGAGAAGGGGUUUCAUUUUGCAGGAUUUGUAUCCAAUGGAAAUAAUGAAAUUUCCGGAAUGAUGGGAUUAAGCAGCUGAAGCACAGACAAGUCAUUUCAACUGUAAAUCAAGAACAACAAACUCCAGCAGGAGGUCCUUGGCCCCAGCACCCUCUGGAGGAAGUUAGAAGAUCUUUCAGGACUGAAAUUGACAACUACAGGGUAUGUC